rnacentral:SRP_RNA from 1 species
GCUGGGCAUGGUGGCUCAUGCCUGUAAUCCCAGCACUUUGGGAGGCUGAGGCGGGCAGAUCACCUGAGGCCAGGAGUUCGAUCAAGACCAGCCUGGCCAACAUGGUGAAACCCCGUCUCUA